UACGUAGGGUCCGAGCGUUGUCCGGAAUUACUGGGCGUAAAGAGCUCGUAGGUGGUUUGUCGCGUUGUUCGUGAAAACUCACAGCUCAACUGUGGGCGUGCGGGCGAUACGGGCAGACUAGAGUACUGCAGGGGAGACUGGAAUUCCUGGUGUAGCGGUGGAAUGCGCAGAUAUCAGGAGGAACACCGGUGGCGAAGGCGGGUCUCUGGGCAGUAACUGACGCUGGAGGAGCGAAAGCGUGGGG
rnacentral:rRNA from 1 species